GAAACAGCCUGGUGGGAUGGGUAACACAAGAGAGCCGGGGAAGCUGAGUGGGAAGUAAAGGGCAUGAUCUUGGGAGACUACUGAAUUUGUUCCUUCCCUGUGAAGCCGGUAGCCAUGGGAACUAAGCACCAUAGACCCUGACUACAGCUACAAAGUGGAAACAAUCUCCCUGCUGUUCAUCAACAACAUAAAUUAUGGCGUGUAUAAACAAUGAGAUGUUCUUCCACCAUGAAAGGAAAUCCUGUUGUAUGCUGUAAUAUGGGUAAAACUUGAAGACAUUGUGUUAACUAUAGUAAGCUCUCACACAAGGACAAAUACUGCCUUAUUAUAUUUAAGAGCCAAACCUGUUUUCCUCAUUGGAGCAGUGUCCACACCAGAGAGGGAUAUGAAGAGAGUGUGGAGCAAGAGAGGACUCUUGACAGCUGCAAGGUGAAGGAACCAGCAGAUUAGACUACAGGUGUGAGGAAGAGUACCCACGGCAGAGCUGCUGCAAGCACCUUAUAGACUCGUUUCUGUUCAAGAGAACAGUGCUGGGUUGCAGGGUUCCCAUUGUUUUGAUUUCUAG
rnacentral:lncRNA from 1 species